AGUGCGAUCUCUGGUUUCUGGGUCCGCGGGCAACCGCGGGCCGGAGAAACCGGGUUCUUAUGGUCAAGCUACUAAGGGCGUACGGUGAAUGCCUUGGCGCCAGAAGUCGACGAAGGACGUGGUAAGCUGCGAUAAGCUUCGGUGAGCCGCAAACAGGCUUCGACCCGAAGAUUUCCGAAUGGGGAAACCCACCCCGGCUCAUCCCGGGGUAUCCCACGCUGAAUCCAUAGGCGUGCGGAAGGCAACGCAGGGAAGUGAACCAUCUCAGUACCUGCAGGAAGAGAAAUCAAACGAGAUUCCGCUAGUAGCGGCGAGCGAACGCGGACAUAGCCCAAACCAUCGUGCUUGCACGGUGGUGUUGUAGGGCCUGCCGGGCCGCAAGGCCGGCGAGUUACCAACCAGAUUGCUAGUCGAAUGCCCUGGAACGGGCAGCCAUAGCGGGUGACAGCCCCGUAGGCGAAAGCAUUCUGGCUCGCUGGGCAGGUUCCUGAGUACCGCGGGACACGAGAAAUCCCGUGGGAAUCCGGGAGGACCAUCUUCCAAGGCUAAAUACUCUCUGGCGACCGAUAGUGAACCAGUACCGUGAGGGAAAGGUGAAAAGCACCCCUGCGAGGGGAGUGAAAUAGUACCUGAAACCGUAUGCCUACAAGCAGUGGGAGGGCUAUGGCCGGGGUUCGCCCUGGUCACGCCUGACCGCGUGCCUUUUGCAUAAUGAGCCGGCUAGUUA
rnacentral:rRNA from 1 species